rnacentral:lncRNA from 1 species
AUAACCCUCAAUAAGCUAGGCAUUAAAGGAGCAUACUUCAAAAUAAUAAGAGCCAUCUGUGACAAACCCAUAGCUAACAUUAUACUGAAUGGGCAAAAGCUGAAAGUUUCCCCCUUGAAAACUUGCACAAGACAAGGAUGCCCUCUCUCACCACUGCUCCUAUUCAACAUAAUGUUGAAAGUCCUGGCCAGAGCAAUAAGGCAAGAGAAAGAAAUAAAAGGCAUCAAAAUACGGAGAGAGGAGGUCAAACUGUCCCUGUUAACAGACGACAUGAUUCUAUAUGUAGAAAAUCUCAUAGUCCUGGCCC